UUUCAUUAUUUCAAGUUUUGUGGCAAAUUAAAGAUUGUUAUUAAAUUGUGUGUAGGAAACUCCAGUCAUGGCAGUAAAAUAGUAAGCAGCCCUCUUCGAAAUCCAAAAUGGCCGCCCUGGUCUCUGACUACGACAUGUUUGUUUCUUCUUCUCAAGUUCCAGCAGACAGAUUUCAACCAAACGUGGUCAAAAUAAUCAUCUCAUGGCCUUGAAAAUAUUAUUUUGGAACCAAUUAAAAAAUCAAAAUGGCGCUAUGUUUCACAAUACAGAUUUCAACACAA